GCUCUGCCCUCAAGAGGGCGACAGCUUCCUUGAGAAUCCUUCCUCUGGCUUCUGAGACCUGGAGGAGGGUCUCUCCAGAUGUGUCAGAGGGUGGCCCUGAGGCCCGGGUCACUGUAUCUCUUGGGAUUUUGUUCCAGGUGUGGGCUAUCUGAUAGAGCUGGGCCCACAGUUCUAGCCACGCAGCCUGUUCCUCACUUCCUGGCAUGUGCCUGCUCCGGUCCCCCUGUAGCAUCAUGGGAGCCGUUCUUCCUCCACAGCCCUGACCCCGUUCUUACCGACAAGGAAUGAGAGAGAAGACUGGGACUGAGGGUUGAGCCCAGCUUCUGGGCUUCCUUUGUGCAAUGACCUGAGCUGUUCUUUUGUCAGUUGUCAUUGGAUGGACACGGCAAUGUGACAGGCCCUCAGGAGGGGCUGGAUCCCAGGAUCAGUAGUCUGGUGUUCAAGCCAUCCACAGGGAGCUGACACUCUGGCAGAGUCCAAGACAAUCAGGAAGACAAAGGUGCUGAGGUAAGUCCACAUGAAAACAGCCAUGGAGGAUGUUUACUAAAGCCACAAGGUGAACCCAAGGGCAAACUGCAGGUCAGAGUAGCUAGGCUUCCCUAAAGCCUAGAACUAGCACAAGACAAGACACACAGAGCAAAAUCUGCUCUGUUCCUCUCAUCAUCUUUGGCCAUAUAGUUCUCAUGAGCUUGAGGCCCGAAGAAUGUCAGCGGCAGCCUGGCUGAAGGGCAGGUGAUGAGCACAGAAAGAAGCCAUUUUGUUUAAACUGGGUCGCCGGAGUCCUCACUCCUGCUGGAGAGCCAGGACCUCAGAAGACAGGACCUCUGCUCAGGU